rnacentral:rRNA from 1 species
AGAGUUUGAUCAUGGCUCAGGAUUAACGUUGGUAGUAUAUCUAACGAAAGCAAGUCGAACGGGGUUGGAGCAAUCCAAUCGAGUGGCGAAUAGGUGAGUAAUGCUUAUCUAACUUGCCAAUUAGUGGGGGAUAACCAUGGGAAACUAUGGCUAAUACCGCAUUUGUUACUAGUAAUGAAAGAGGGUCGUAAGAUUCUCGCUAAUUGAGAGGGAUAAGUCGUAUCAGCCGGUGAAAGUAGGGUAAUGGCCUACUGAGGCAGUGACGCGUAGCCAGCCUGAGAGGGCGAAUGGCCACCGAGGAACUGAGACAAAGUCCUCCAUUCCUACGGGAGUGAGCAUCGGAGAAUCUUCCACAAUGGACGCAAGUCUGAUGGAGUAAUACUACGUGAAGGAGGAAGGUCUACGGAUUGUAAACUUCUGUUAGUGCGGAAAAAGGGCUGAACGUGAGUUCAGUCUUGAUGGUACGCACAGAGAAAGCCACGACUAACUACGUGCCAGCAGUCGCGGUAAGACGUAGGUGGCGAACGUUAUCCGGAAUUAUUGGGCGUAAAGGGUGCGUAGAUGGUCGAAUAAGUUAUCAGUGGUAAAUCGAGGCCUAACCUCGUGGAAACUGGUAAUACUGUCCGACUGGAGGGCAGGAGAGGUUAACGGAACUAUUUGUGUAGGGGUAAAAUCCGACGAUAUAAACGUGAACACCAAUAACGGCGAAGGCAGUUAACUAUUCUGUUCCUGACAUUGAGGCACGAAAGCGUGGGGAGCAAAAAGGAUUAGAUACCCUAGUAGUCC